rnacentral:lncRNA from 1 species
AUGGCAGGGAAGGCCAGUCCCUUCCAGGGCUCCGCGGGAGGGGGCCUGGAACCCCGACGGUCCGCGCCGCGAGGCCUCGAUCCCAGAUCCCCGCCAGCAGCCGCACGGGAGGCGGGACGGCCGCCGGGUGGGUCCCGGGGUCCCCGCAAACCCGCGGCCCCCUGCGCCCCCCGGGGUCCCCGCGACCCCGCGGUCCCUGCGCCCCCCGGGGUCCCCGCGACGCCCCCGCCCCCCCCCCGCGGUCCCUGCGCCCCCCGGGGUCCCCGCGACGCCCCCGCCCCCCCCGCGGUCCCUGCGCCCCCGGGGUUCCCGUGCCUCCGCGAUCCCUGCGCCUCCCGCGACCCCUGCGCCCCCCGUGCCCCCCCGGGGUCCCCGCGACCCUGCGCCCGCCCCCCGCGGGCCCCGCGCCUCUCGUGUCCCCCGCGCCCCGCCGCUCACCCCCACUGUGGGAAGGGUGGCCUCCGUGCCCCCCGGGCCCCCCCGGGGGAGGCCGGGCCCCGCGAUCCAGGCGGGCGCGGCAGCAGCGCGGCGAGCGGUCAGCGGGCGGGCGGCGGCAUCGGGCGGGCGGGGAGGCGCGCAGACCCCGCUCCGAGCGCCCCGAGUGGCGGGGCCCCCGCGGCGUCCGGCCGCGCCGCCGCUCCAGCCCCGGGCCGCGGUCCCCGCGAAAACACCUCCUCUGGCGCCUUGAGCCCGAAUUUGAGAACCCGCCAAUCGGCGGCGGGCGGCGGGCGGCCCCGGCCAAUGGCGAGGCGGCACGGCCCGGCUCCCCGCCCCCCGGGUCUUGGCGCCCCGCGCCGCGCCUCUUGCCCGCCGCCGCCAGGCGCUGCCGCCUCGCCCCCGCCCCCUUCCGGGUACCUGGAAACCUCGGGCCCGGAGCCCGUUCCAGCCGCGGACGCGGGAAGGGGGGAGGGGCGGGGAGCGGGGAGGGGAGAGAGCAGCGGGAGGGGACGGGGAGAGGACGGAGAGCUGGGCGGGAGAGGAGAGGAAGGAGGGGAGGGGAGGGGGAGAGGACGGAGAGCUGGACGGGGAGAGGAGAGGAAGGAGGGGAGGGGAGGGGGAGAGGACGGAGAGCAGGGGGGAGCAGGAGGGAGCAGAGGAGAGGGAGGAGAGGAAGGGAGGGGAGGGGGAGAGCAGGGGAGAGGGGAAGAGAGGAGAGGGAGGAGGGGAGGCGGAGGGAGGAGGAGAGGGAGGGGAGGGGAAGAGCAGGGGAGAGGAGAGGGAGGAGGGGAAGGGGGAGCAGGGGGAGGAGGAGAGAAGGGGGAGCAGGGGGGGAGGGGGAGGGACGAGGGGAGGGGGAGAGCAGAGGGGGGAGGAGACGCGGGAGAGGAGGGGAGGGGGGAGGAGGGCGCUUUUGUUAUGCAUAAAAGGCCCGCCGGCUGCCCCGGCUUGCCGCGCUAG